GACGUAGGGCGCGAGCGUUGUCCGGAUUUAUUGGGCGUAAAGAGCUCGUAGGCGGCUUGUCGCGUCGACUGUGAAAACCCGCGGCUCAACCGUGUGGCGGGCAGUUUGAUACGGGCAGGCUAGAGUUCGGUAGGGGAGACUGGAAUUCCUGGUGUAGCGGUGAAAUGCGCAGAUAUCAGGAGGAACACCGGUGGCGAAGGCGGGUCUCUGGGCCGAUACUGACGCUGAGGAGCGAAAGCGUGGGGGAGCGAACAGG
rnacentral:rRNA from 1 species